rnacentral:lncRNA from 9 species
ACAGCUGUCCCCAAGAGCCACCCCUGGGAUGCACAGCUGUCCCCAAGAGCCACCAAGGCUCACUUGCCCUGAGGUCCAGGAUAUCUCUGGGGGACUCCCUCCUCCCCUAACAGCACCACCAGCUCUGGGGGUCCCUGGGGAAGCUGCUUCUGAAAAGGCAGGAUAUAAUGUGCGCCAAGUGUCUGUGCCUUGGGCUCUCUGGUGAGCAGAGCGCAAACCCCGCCGCCACCCCCAACCCCUCUCCUCGGUUUCUGAGAGCAGGUAGGAGCCCAGCUGGCCAGGCUGUUAGCAAAAGUGUCCCCUGUCGGCGAUAGAGGGUCUGGUGUGCCACAGCCCUCACUGAGCUCACCAUUGCUCGUCCAUUCUUUUCUUUUAUUUUUUUUAAGAGAUGUAUUUAUUUUAUUUAUUUAUGUAUUUAUUUUGUCUUUUUGCCAUUUCUUGGGCCACUCCCGCGGCAUAUGGAAGUUCCCAGGCUAGGGGUCUAAUCGGAGCUGAAGCCGCUGGCCUACACCAGGGCCAGAGCAAUGCUGGAUCUGAGCCGCAUCUGCAACCUAUGCCACAGCUCACGGCAACACCAGAUCGUUAACCCACUGAGCAAGGGCAGGGAUCGAACCCGCCACCUCAUGGUUUCUAGUUGGGUUCGUUAACCACUGCGCCACGACGGGAACUCCCCAUUCUUUUAUUUUUAUUUGUGUCUUUUUAGGGCUGCACCCACAGCAUAUGGAAGUUCCCAGGCUAGGGGUCGAAUCGAAGCUGCAGCUGCUGGCCUGCACCACAGCCACAGCAACUCGGGAUCCAAGCCCCAUCUGCAACCCACACCGCAGCUCACGGCAACUCCGGAUCCUUAACCCACUGAGCAAGGCCAGGGAUCGAACCCACAUCCUCAUGGAUACCAGUCAGGUUCUUAACCUACUGAGCCACAGUGGGAACUCCUGCUCCUCCACUUUACAGAUGCGCCCAGAGGGAUGGAGCUUCGUGCCUGCAGUUGAGCAUUGAGGAAGAAGACACGUGGGGGGAGCCUGGGGGUGAGUGGAUGAGAGAGUGCUGGAAAGAACUGCUGACAGUCUGAUGAGAGCUUGGUUGGGAGGUUUGGGGGGAGGGACCAGGGAAGCAGGGAGGUGCUCUAGAUGGUUUGGAGCCUGUCAGAAAGCAGGCUCUAGAUGAAGAUGCAACUGCCUUUGGAAAAGAAGCAGCUGUCCCUCAUCUCAGCCAAGAGAGGGGCAGUUUGGUGUUCGGUGACUGGAUGCCUUGGCUGACACGGCGCCCUUGUUUCUGUCUGUGCUGAGACGGAGUGAUGAAAUGGCCGUGCUUUGCCGCGUCCCAUCAUCGUCUCCGAGGAGCCUCGCCUGAGCUGGGUGUCUCUGAGAACGCUGAUGGCCAGCGGGAGGGUUGAGCCAUUCUCUUCUUCACUAGUAAGGAUCCAGGCCAAGCUUCACCACGAGGUGGUAACUGGUAGAACACACCUGCCUGCAGAGCAUGAUGCCAAGCAUUUGUUUGUUGGUUAGAAUUUCCUUCUCUCCGCCACCCCUCAGCUUUACUGAGAUAUCAUUGACAAAAUCGUGUGCCUUUAAAGUGUACUAUGGGGGAGUUCCUGUGGCGGCUUAGCGGGUUAAGAACCUAACAUCGUCUCCCUGAGGAUUCAGGUUCAAUCCUUUGCCUUGCUCAGUGGAUUGAAGAUCCAGCAUUGCUGCAAGCCACAGCAUAGGCUGCAGAUGCAGCUCAGAUCCUGUGUGGCUGUGGCCAUAGUGUAGUAUGGCAGCUGCAGUUAUAAUUCGACCCCUAGCUAGGACCUUCCAUACCCUGCAGGUGCAGCCAUAAAAAGAAAAAUCAAAAAGUGUACAGUGUGAUGAUUUGGGAUACCUGGAUGUUAUGAAAUACUGGCCAUAAUCAAGUUAAUUUACACACCCAUCACCUGACAGUGUUUUACCUUUUACCUCUGAGAUGGGAAGGGUUAAGAUCUACUCUCUUAGCAACUUUCAAGCCUGCAACACAUUAGAGUUAACCACGGGCGCCAUGCUGGACAUUAGUCUCCAACACUUUUUCAUCUUUAACUGGAACUUUGUACGUUGAACACGUAUCUUCACUUCCAAGGUCCUGGCAACUAGCAUUCUAUUUUCAGUUCCCAUGGGCCCCCCCCUUUUUUUUUCCAGACUCCACAUUUUAAGUGAUACCAUGUGAGAGUAAUUGUCUUAGUUUGUCCAAUUUAUUUCACAUAACAUAAUGUCCACCAGGCUCAUCCACGUUGUCCCAAAUAGCAGGAUUUCUUUCUUUUUUAUGGCUGAAUAAUAUUCCACUGUGCCCAUUACAUUGUACAGGAUUUGCUUCUUUAUGGCCGGAUAAUAUUCCAUUGAACAUAUUACAUUAUACGGGAUUUCCUUUUUCUUUAUGGCUGAAUAAUACUCCAUCAUACAUCUAAGCCACCGUUCCUUUACCCAUCCCCCUGUCAAUGGGCACCUAAGUUGUUUCCACAUCUUGGCUAUUGGGAAUGAUGCUGCAAUGAACAUGGGAUGCGGGUACCUUUUGGGCUAGUGUUUUCAUUUCUUCAGAUAAAUACCCACUAGUGGAAUUGCUGGAUCGCGUGGUAGUUCUAAUUUUAGUUUUUGAGAAACAUCCCUACUGUUUACUGUAGCAGCUGCACUCAUUUGCGUUCCCACCAGCAAUGCACACAGGUUUCCGAUUUUCCCCCUUCUCGCCGAUGCUCGUUGCUUCUUGUCUUUUUGAUAAUAGCCAUUCAAACAGAUGAAAUGUGAUCUCCUGGUAGUUUUGAUUUGCUUUUCCCUGGUGGUUCGUGAUAUUGAACAUCUGUAUUUUCAGGUACCCGUUGGCCACCUGUAUGUCUCCUUUGGAAAAAUAUCUGCUCAGGUCAUCUGCUCGUUUUUUGAUGAAGUUAUUUGUAUCUUGGCUAUUGAAUUCCUUAUAUGUUCCAGUUAUUGGCCUCUGAUCAGAUAUAUGGUUUGCAAAUGGUGUCCCCCAUUCGGUAGGUGGCCUUUGCAUUUUGUUGAUGGUUUCUUUGGCUGUGCAGAGAUUCUUUCACCUUCUGUAGUCUCUGGUUUAUUUGCUUUUAUUGCCUGUGCUUCUGGUGUUACAUAUCUAAGAAGUCACUGUCAAGACCAAUGUCAAGGGGCUUUUCCCCUGGGCUUUCCCCUGGGACGUUUAGUUUCCAGUCCUACAUUUAAGUCUUUGGUCCAUUUUGAAUUCAUUUUCGUGAAUGGUAUAAGGUAAGAAUCCAGUUUCAUUCUUUUGCCUGUGGAUAUCGUGUUUUCCCAAUACCGUUUAUUAAAGGGUCUACCUUUCCCCGUUGUGUGAUUUUGGUGUCCUUGUCACAUGUUAGUUGAAUGUAUGUGAAUGGGUUCAUUUCUGGGCUCUCUAUUGUUUUCCGUUGGUCAAUGUAUCUGUGUUGUUUUUGGGUUUUUUGCCUUUGUUGCCUUUAUUUAAAAAAAUUUUUUAAUACAAUUUGUAAAAGUCACACUCCAUUUACAGUUAUUACAAAAUAUCGGCUGUAGUCCCCGCAUGGUACAGCAUUCCUUGAAGUCUACUCAAUGGUUUGUAACUCCCACCCUCCCCCUCCUCACUGGAAAGCACUAGUUUCUUCUCUGUGAGUCUGCUUCUUUUUUUGCUAUGCUCACUAGUUUGUGGUAUUUUUUUAAGAUUCCACAUAUAAGCGACAUCAUACAGCCUUUGUCUUUCUCUCUCUGACUUACUUCACUUAGCAUCAUGCCCUUGAAGUCCAUCCAUGUUGCUACAGAUGGGACAUUUCUGUUCUUUUUUAUGGCUGACUAAUAUUCCGUUGUGUCCAUAUACCACCUCAUCUUUAUCCCUCCACCUGUUGAUGGACACUUAGGUUGCUCUCAUACCUUGGCGCUUGUCAAUAAGGCUGCUAUGAACAUUGAGGUGCAUGCAUCUUUUGGAAUUAGUAGUGUGCAGUGUUUCUUUUUUCAGAUGUAGACCCCGAAGUGGAAUUGCUGGGUUAUAUGGUGGUUUUCUUUUCAGUUUUUUGAGAAAUCGCCAUCCUGUUUUCUCAAGUGGCUGCAGCAAUUUGCAUUCCCACCAUAGUGUGGGAGGGUCCCCUUUUCUCCACAUCCUCUCCAACAUUUGUUGUCUGUGUUAUUUUAAAGGCUAGCCAUCCUGACAGAUGUGAGUUGAAAUCGAGAUUUUUAUUAGCAAUGUUGAUUAGCAAUUUUGAUUAGCAAUGUUGUGUAUAUUUUCACAUGUCUGUUGGCCAGCUGCAUUUCUCUUAUGAAAAAAUAUCUGUUCAGGUCUUCUGCCUAUGUUUUAAUUGGGUUGUUUGGGUUUUUAUGUUGGGUUGUAUGAGCUGUUUAUAUAUGUUGGAUAUUAAUCUUUUAUUGGCUGUAUCAUUUGCAAAUAUUUUCUCCCAUUUAGUAGGCUGUCUUUUCAUUUUGUUAAUAAUUUCCUUUGCUGUACAAAAGCUUCUAAGUUUAAUUAGGUCCCAUUUGUUUAUUUUUGCUUUUAUUUCCUUUACUUUAGGAGACAGAUCCGGAAAAAUAUUGCUGUAAUUUAUGUCAAAAAGUGUUCUGCCUAUGUUUUCCUCUAGGCAUUUUAUAGUAUUAAGUCUUACAUUUAGGUCUUUAAUCCACUUUGAGUUUAUUUUUGUAUAUAGUGUUAGAGAAUUUCUGAUUUCAUUCUUUUACAUGUAACUGUCCAGUCUUCCCAGCAACACUUAUUGAAGAGACUGUCUGUUCUCCAUUGUAUAUUCUUAUAUAUCCAAAAGUAGCAGGAUGCACCUUUUUUCGCAUGGAACAUCCUCCAGGACAGAUCACAUGCUAGGCCACUAAAUAAGCCUUGGUAAAUUUAAGAAAAUUAAAAUCACAUCAAGCAUCUUUUCUAAGCACAACACUAUGAGACUAGAAAUCAACUAUAAGAAAAAACUGCAAACACACACACACACACACACACACACACACACACACACACGGAGGCUAAACAAUCUGCUACUAAGUAACCAAUGGAUCAUUGAAGAAAUAAAAGAGGAAAUAAAAAAAACGCUUAGAGAUAAAUGAAAGCAAAGACAUGAUCAAAAACUGGCACACAGCAAAAGCAAUUCUAAGAGGGGAGUUUAUAACAAUAUAAGCUCACCACAGGAAAUAAGAAAAAUCUCAAUUAAACAACCUAACUUUACACUUAAAGGGACUUGAGAAAGAAGAACAAACAAAACCCA